rnacentral:rRNA from 1 species
AUUGAACGCUGGCGGCAGGCCUAACACAUGCAAGUCGAGCGAGCGGCGGACGGGUGAGUAAUGUAUGGGGACUGCCCGAUAGAGGGGGCUAACUCCUGGCAACGGUAGCUAAUACCGCAUACUAUCGGAUAACCCAUAUGGGUUUAGCUCGUAGGUGAGGUAAUGGCUCACCUAGGCGACGAUCCCUAGCUGGUCUGAGAGGAUGAUCAGCAACACUGGGACGAAGACACGGCGCAGACACAUACGGGGGCAGCAGGGGGGAAUAUUGAACAAGGGGCGAAAGCCUGAUGCAGACAUGCCGAUUGUAUGAAGAAGGCCCUAGGGUUGUAAAGUACUUUCAGUCGGGAGAAGUAACCGACAGAAGAAGCACCGGCGAACUCGGUGCAAGCCGCCGCGGUAAUU